rfam:Danio rerio chromosome 10, GRCz11 reference primary assembly.
GCCGGCAGCUAGCUCUCUGCAACUCUCACAUGGUCGCCCACUAAAGCUAAGCAGGGCUGCGCCCGGUCAGUACCUGGAUGGGAGACCACAUGGGAAAGCUAGGUUGCUGCCGGAA